GUAGUCUGCAACUCGACUACAUGAAGCUGGAAUCGCUAGUAAUCGCGAAUCAGCAUGUCGCGGUGAAUACGUUCCCGGGUCUUGUACACACCGCCCGUCACACCAUGGGAGUUGGUAACGCCCGAAGCCAGUGACCCAACCGCAAGGGAGGGAGCUGCCGAAGGCAGGCUCGAUAACUGGGGUGAAGUCGUAACAAGGUAGC
rnacentral:rRNA from 1 species